rnacentral:rRNA from 1 species
UACGAAGGGGGCUAGCGUUGCUCGGAAUCACUGGGCGUAAAGGGCGCGUAGGCGGCCAUUCAAGUCGGGGGUGAAAGCCUGUGGCUCAACCACAGAAUUGCCUUCGAUACUGUUUGGCUUGAGUUUGGUAGAGGUUGGUGGAACUGCGAGUGUAGAGGUGAAAUUCGUAGAUAUUCGCAAGAACACCAGUGGCGAAGGCGGCCAACUGGACCAACACUGAC